rnacentral:rRNA from 1 species
CCUACGGGACGCAGCAGUAGGGAAUCUUCCACAAUGGACGAAAGUCUGAUGGAGCAACGCCGCGUGAGUGAAGAAGGGUUUCGGCUCGUAAAGCUCUGUUGGUAGUGAAGAAAGAUAGAGGUAGUAACUGGCCUUUAUUUGACGGUAAUUACUUAGAAAGUCACGGCUAACUACGUGCCAGCAGCCGCGGUAAUACGUAGGUGGCAAGCGUUGUCCGGAUUUAUUGGGCGGAAAGCGAGUGCAGGCGGGUCAAUAAGUAUUGUU